rnacentral:rRNA from 1 species
AUUGAACGCUGGCGGCAGGCCUAACACAUGCAAGUCGAACGAGUGGCGGACGGGUGAGUAAUGUCUGGGAAACUGCCUGAUGGAGGGGGCUAACUCCUGGAAACGGUAGCUAAUACCGCAUACCAUCGGAUGUGCCCAGAUGGGAUUAGCUAGUAGGUGGGGUAACGGCUCACCGAGGCGACGAUCCCUAGCUGGUCUGAGAGGAUGACCAGCCACACUGGAACUGAGACACGGUCCAGACUCCUACGGGAGGCAGCAGUGGGGAAUAUUGCACAAUGGGCGCAAGCCUGAUGCAGCCAUGCCGCGUGUAUGAAGAAGGCCUUCGGGUUGUAAAGUACUUUCAGCGGGGAGGCGUUACCCGCAGAAGAAGCACCGGCUAACUCCGUGCCAGCCGCCGCGGUAAUUC